UGGGGGCUUCUAACCUGAAGGGUGGACCUAAUGUCCUCCCUCCUGGCCCUCACCCCUGAGCGGUAAUUUGACUCUUAACUUUUUUUUUUUUUUUAUGAGUCAAAUUACCGCUAUGGGGUGGGGGCCAGGGGGGAGGACAUUAGGUUCCCCCCCUCAUUCUAAUUUAGGGCCCCCA